GGGAUCCUUUGCCCCACCAUUAUUGGCCCCAAGCCUUGGGGGCUCACUUCAAGUAACAGUGCCUGUCUUAGGUUGCCCCAACUCCUGGGGUCUUCUCCGUCAUUGGCUACCUGUCUUCUUGAAGGGCUCGUCACCACCAUCGGUCACUGGACGCACAUUGUGGGCUGGAAUCCAGAUGGGUGUUCAUGAGGUCUCUGGAAAGACAUAAGCAACCCCUCGGCUCUGGGAAAGGAGAGGAUGUGGUCCCUGCCAGGCACUGAUCCAGAUGUAAAAAUCUCGGCUCCUUUUCCAUCACCAUGUCUGCCUGCACACAGAUAUGAUUCCUGCCAUGAUGGACUAAUACUCUG